UACGUAGGGUGCAAGCGUUGUCCGGAAUUAUUGGGCGUAAAGAGCUCGUAGGCGGUUUGUCGCGUCUGCUGUGAAAACUCGGGGCUUAACCCCGGGCCUGCAGUGGGUACGGGCAGACUAGAGUGCGGUAGGGGAGACUGGAAUUCCUGGUGUAGCGGUGAAAUGCGCAGAUAUCAGGAGGAACACCGGUGGCGAAGGCGGGUCUCUGGACAGUUCCUGACGCUGAGGCACGAAGGCCAGGGGAGCAAACGGG
rnacentral:rRNA from 1 species